GCCCGGCCGUAACACGACAAUCAAAUAACCAAUUGUUCGCCAAAUAACUACGAGUAUAAACUUAAAAUUUAAAAGACUUGACGGUGCUUCACAACAACCUAGAGGAGCCUGUCUUACAACCGAUACCCCACGAUUAACCCAACCCACCCUAGCCAAUCAGUCUAUAUACCGCCGUCGCCAGCUCACCUUGCAAAAGAACUAAAGUGAGCAAAAUGAAUUUUUCUCCAAUACGACAGGUCGAGGUGUAACCUAUGAGUGGGUAAAAGAUGGGCUACAUUUUCUAACACAGAACACACGAAUCCACUAUGAAACUAGAAACUGAAGGCGGAUUUAGCAGUAUGAUAAGAAUAGAAUGCUCAACUGAAACUAAUGCAAUGAAGUGCGUACACACCGCCCGUCAUCCCUGUCCAUAACCCAUAAAAUCCAUAAAACAACUGCCACCACCACCACAGGGC
rnacentral:rRNA from 1 species